GACCUAGUAGCAAAUGGCCCGCACCUGCUCCUUAUACAUGUUCGAACCUGAUAGUUAAUAAGGCAGGACUCCUGGUUCGACUCCAGGCUAGGUCA